rnacentral:rRNA from 1 species
GACGAACGCUGGCGGCGUGCUUAACACAUGCAAGUCGAACGGAAAGGCCCUGCUUUUGUGGGGUGCUCGAGUGGCGAGGGGGUGAGUAACACGUGAGUAACCUGCCCUUGACUUUGGGAUAACUUCAGGAAACUGGGGCUAAUACCGGGUAGGAGCUCCUGCUGCAUGGUGGGGGAUGGAAAGUUUCGGCGGUUGGGGAUGGACUCGCGGCUUAUCAGCUUGUUGGUGGGGUAGUGGCUUACCAAGGCUUUGACGGGUAGCCGGCCUGAGAGGGUGACCGGCCACAUUGGGACUGAGAUACGGCCCAGACUCCUACGGGAGGCAGCAGUGGGGAAUAUUGCACAAUGGGCGGAAGCCUGAUGCAGCAACGCCGCGUGCGGGAUGACGGCCUUCGGGUUGUAAACCGCUUUCGCCUGUGACGAAGCGUGAGUGACGGUAACGGGUAAAGAAGCACCGGCUAACUACGUG